UACAGAGGUCCCAAGCGUUGUUCGGAUUCAUUGGGCGUAAAGGGUGCGUAGGCGGUGCCGUAAGUUGGAUGUGAAAUCUCGGGGCUCAACCCCGAAACUGCAUUCAAUACUGCGGUGCUUGAGUACUGGAGAGGAGACUGGAAUUCAUGGUGUAGCAGUGAAAUGCGUAGAUAUCAUGAGGAAGGCCAGUGGCGAAGGCGGGUCUCUGGACAGUUACUGACGCUGAGGCACGAAGGCCAGGGGAGCAAACGGG
rnacentral:rRNA from 1 species